CUUAAACUUUUUAUGUAUAUAUAUAUAUAAGAACACAUUAAUUUAAUAAUCUAUAGCUUGUCCUAAAGUAUGUAUAGUUACAUAAAAAGUUAGUUUGUGUGUUAAGAGUUUCAUUUUUUAUUCUUUUUCCCCCUACAUUCAGUUUAGCUGAUAAUGAGAAUGAAUGAUGAAAUUACGUUCGACAAAUGAGUGAACUAUGGCUUAUGCUCAACAGACUACCUCUAGAAAAGACGAAGCCUAUCUUAUCACUUAAAAAUCUGGUUUUGAAUGGCCAAAUUUGGAGCUGCAACUUAAUUUAUGGUAAUAGACCGGAAUCUGCAAUUAGAAACAUGGUACUUGGUCUGAUAAUUACUGUUACUUUGAAAUGGACUGUAAAAAUAAGCAUCUACUACUGAGGCAAUUUCUUCCCUUCCUAAAACGGCAUUCACACUGUCUUCGAUAAAAACGCUGGAGGUCACAAAGUUGCUGUACUGUUGGUUGCUAGAAGACGUUCCUACUCAACCACAGUAUCCAAAUGAAUCAGGUGACAAAUCACAGUCUAGACUCCCAUUGGUUGUCACCGCAUCACUACGCAUUUGCAUAAAGUUAUAUAGCUCAACUUUGUCGCAUCAUCAACAGUCUGACGCUCAAGUCGCCUCAAAUCGCCAACUCUUAUUGGAAUCGAGUGACUUGCAAAGUGGCGUCAGUGUGAACGCCGCUAAACAUCAAGCACAGAGGAACGAUGAAUGGAGUAAUGGUUAAUUUGUUCCUGGGACUAAAAAACAAACAUAGGAAAGUAAUGAAACCUCCACAACAUAUAAAGGACAGUGAAAUGAAAGAAGAAGAGGCGUCUGACAGACAUGAGAGGCGGGGAGGCAGUGAACGGGGUUCUAUCUACAUGUGGAGGCUGUCAAGAUUUACAUGGAUUUAUUAUCUGAGGUAUUCUGUGUUGUAAGGUUUUUUUCUUUAAGUUGAAACAUCACAUAUUGUACAGACAACAGAAACAAAAGAAAUAGUCUUUGUGGCCUUGUGGGUCUCGAGGGACCGAACAAAAUAUCUAAACUUAGAGCGUCCAUUUAUUUAUUUAUUUUUUUGUUUUCCCAGGAAAUUUGUACUUUACAAUCCUCGCUGUUUAUAAAGCACUGAACUAAGGAUAUUUGGCUGAAUCUUUUUAAAUGCAAAAGGCGGUCUGAUAAGGACAUGCAGUUGAGUUGUCCGGCUGUUGGGUGACCUGCUUUCUUGGGCAUGCGACAACAAACUCACUUUUCUCAAGUCAAGGGGACUUAAAUCACGAGUAUUGCCUCGCUGGACUCAUUUUCCCACUCAUAGUUUAAUAUUGCAAAAUAAAAUCACCAAAAAUGUUUUUUUUUACCACUUUACUGGUGGGAUUCUGAAUUAUGGGUGGUAAUAAAAUGGAACCUAAAGGCAAGCGUUUUUUUAAAGUAUUCACAAUAUCAAUAGUAUUAAGAAAUAUAGAAAAGGUAUCAAUCUUUAGCCGAUCCUAAUCAUUCCACUCUCAUGCAUUAACCUGAGGGGGUACGGGAGAAGGGAUCUGAUCCUCAUACUACACUGAACGCCGAACCUUUACAACGUUAAGACUCUACUUUGAGAAUUCCUACGAAACUUUAAAAAUGUAUUUUGAAAAUAUGAACACAAACUGAACAGAUAGCCAAAGGCAUUUUUGCUCCAUAAAACUUACGACUCCAUACAUGGAAAAAUCUACAAAAAGUGUAAGCACAGCACCCCAUCGAGAGAUAAGAUACUGCCCACAGACUGCAUUUGGCUUGAAUUUCAAGGGCACAAACUAAUAUGGUGUGGCAUGACUAUACUAGAUUCUUGAGGAAAUACACAUAACGACGCGUUUCCAACUUUAGAGGUGAUCGGUCAACCUGAUUCUUCCCAAACACUGGUCUUAAAAGCAGUUGAGAUGCAUAACUUGGGACCUUUUGGUCCAAAAAAAUAAUUACCUCUAUCAAAAAUGUGACUUAUUAGAUACACAUAUGUGCAUGCGGAAUGUAUAACUGCUUUCCGACUGAACGGGACCGCGACUUUGGGAAUGACGAGCCAGUGUUAUCCGUGCAUCUGAAAUGCUACAUACAGUACAGCACAUAAGCCGAUCAAACCGCCAACAUGUUUCCACAACCUGAUCGACAAAAGCCUGUAGGGACAGUCAGUCCUUCAAGAUACAAGUCAUUUUUGCUUAACUACCAAAGGGCUCCUAUGUCAAAACCAUCUGAAAGUUGAGGUAGCAAAACUAAUAAUCCUAAUCCCGCAGAACUCAAUGGACUGCAGGGUUGAAACAGUCAUGGAUGAAGUUAAUGGUCAAGAGCAGAUUCAGGCAUGAAAUACCAUGCAAUGCCAACAUAGUAAAAGGACAAAUUGCAGAAGGAAGGACUCUUGUUUGGAAACAUUGUAACUCCCAACACAUUUUCAAUCUAAUAUUCUCUUAAUUUCUGUCUCGGCAAAUUAGCAAGAAAACCAAAUUAACACAAACUAGGUCUACAUUUCAAUGGUAGAAAUAACAUAAAAUACAGAAAAUAAACAAUCUUGGUAUAAAAUAAAAAACGGGAAAAGAAUGUGGGUUUUGCCUUAAUAAAAGCAUAAUUGGAAUAGACACACCUUUACUUGUGAAUGAUCUUGCAAGACUGUCAUGGCAACACAAGGGCAGCCCUUUCACGGCCCAAAGCUCUCAAGUUCUCUAGAAGAACGUUGGCCAUUUGUUCAAGCCCAUUUUCUCCUUUCCACUUUCAUUUGCGUUUUCACAGCUCUAUUUGACCUCUCACUGAGCAAGCAUUGAACCUCUUAAGAACGACUAAGUCAUCAUCGUCAGCCAUAUUAAUAUUUCAUUCUAGAGACAGUAGAGGCAGCGGUCUGGUGUUGAAUUUUUAUGGCUCUGUUCCAUAUAAUUCACAGCUUCACUCAAGCCUUCGAAGGAAGGGUGUAAUUUUAUUGAUAUUAAAAUUCUUUAUGUUGUCCCUGUUUUUUAAUGUUGACUAGAAAAUAACUUUUGGAUUUGAACUUAGUUGUUUGAUUCCCCUAAAAAGCGUAAAUACUGGUAAAUACUCAAAACAUUGAUCAGGGGUGCGUUUCCCGACAGCAUUGUUAGCCCACUAUGGUUGCAUGUUCCGUCGUUACCAACAUAGUUCAACAAUUCAGUGUUUUCUGAAACCACAGUUCAAGCGAACAUUCACAAACAGCAUCGCAAACUUACGUGGUUGGGACUACAGCUCUCCACCUGUGGUUAGAAGCAUAGUUUCUUGUUAGUAAGACGUGGGCUUAAAUAAAUGAUGCUCUUGGGCACAGGAAGCAAGCUAGCAUGCAGUAAAAUCUAUAUCUUCCAUCCUAUUUAAAAAAAUGUG